rnacentral:tRNA from 1 species
ACCCGUGUAGCUCAGUUGGAAGAGCACCGUCCUACGAAGUCGGUUGUCGGAAGUUCGAAUCUUCUCACGGGCGCCA